UUUACUUCAAGACGUUAAAACUUGUGAUAUUUGGCUUCUUUCUGUUUUACUUUAGUGUUGUUUCUUGCAUUAAUAGUCAGAUUAGCGAGGAAGAUGAAAUUAGAAAAGCGAAUUGAAGCGAAAAGGGUUUUACGAGCUAACUUUUUACUUCAAGACGUUAAAACUUAUGAUAUUAGGCUUCUUUCUGUUUUACUUUAGUGUUGUUUCUUGCAUUAUUAGUUAGGAAAGCAAAGGAGAUGAACACAGAAGUGGAUUGGAGCGCAGAUAUUCAUAUAAGAGCUAACUUUUUAUUUCAAGACGUUAAAACUUAUGAUAUUAGGCUUCUUUCUGCUUUACUUUAGUGUUGUUUCUUGAAUUAUUAGUUAGAAAAGCAGAGUAGAUGACCAUAGAAGUGAAUUGGAGCGUAGAUAAGCUUAUGUGAGAGCGUUACAUUUUACUUCAAGACGUUAAAACUUAUGAUAUUAGGCUUCUUUCUGCUUUAUUUUAGUGUUGUUUCUUGAAUUAUUAGUUAGAAAAGCAGAGUAGAUGACCAUAGAAGUGAAUUGGACCGUUGAAAGUCUUAUGUGAGAGCUAACCUUUACUUCAAGACGUUAAAACUUAUGAUAUUAGGCUUCUUUCUGCUUUAUUUUAGUGUUGUUUCUUGAAUUAUUAGUUAGAAAAGCAGAGUAGAUGACCAUAGAAGUGAAUUGGACCGUUGAAAGUCUUAUGUGAGAGCUAACCUUUACUUCAAGACGUUAAAACUUAUGAUAUUAGGCUUCUUUCUGCUUUAUUUUAGUGUUGUUUCUUGAAUUAUUGGUCGGAAAAGCAGAGUAGACGAGCAUAGAAGUGAACUGGACCGUUGAAAGUCUUAUGUGAGAGUUAACCUUUUACUUCAAGACGUUAAAACUUAUGAUGUUUGGCUUCUUUCUGUUUUACUUUAGUGUUGUUUCUUGCAUUAUUAGUCAGAAAAGCAGAGUAGACGAGCAUAGAAGUGAAUUGGAGCGUAGAAAGUCUUAUGUGAGAGCUAACCUUUACUUCAAGACGUUAAAACUUUUAUUAUUAUGGACCUUUAGGUUUAUAUCUUCACUCAAUUAUUAGUUAGAAGAAGAGUAAAGGAGACGAGCAUAGAAGUGGACAGGGGCGUUGAGUCUUUUAUAUGCUAACUUUUCACUUUAGAGACAUUGAAACUUAUGAUAUUAGACUUCUUUUAGUUUUACUUUAGCGUUAUUUAUGUCAUUAUUUGUUAGAAGAAUAGCGGAGAAGACUGUAGGAGGUUUUGUAUGAGUUAGCUUAUUACUUCACGACACGGAUCUUUAAUUAUGUGACUAACUCUACCCCACGGCAUGCAAACUUAUUUUAGCUUGACGUUACUUCCUUUAACUUUUAGCUAUACGUAGUAGGUAAAUAUAUUAUGUAAAUAGGUUAAAAUCUCUCUAUCUGUAUUAUUAAGUCAAGUUUAGAUAGACAUGGUAGGUAAAUAUAUGACGUAAAUAGGUUAAAAUCUCUCUAUCUGUAUUAGAAAGUAAAGUUUAGAUAGACAUGGUAGGUAAAUAUAUGACGGAAAUAGGUUUUAAUCUCUCAAGCUUUAAUAGUUAGUCAAGUUUAGAUAGACAUGGUAGGUAAAUAUAUGACGUAAAUAGGUUAAAAUCUCUCUAUCUGUAUUAUUAAGUCAAGUUUAGAUAGACAUGGUAGGUAUAUAUAUGACGGAAAUAGGUUUUAAUCUCUCAAGCUUUAAUAGUUAGUCAAGUUUAGAUAGACAUGGUAGGCAAAUAUAUGACGUAAAUAGGUUCAAAUCUCUCUAUCUGUAUCAUUAAGUCAAGUUUUAUAUCCCCGCGUGUAGAGAUAAGCUAAGUCGUAUAUUGUUCGUGCAUUCUGAGAACCCUCGUAUCAGUUAAGGGUCUAUUUAUGGCAGCGUUCAGGGGUAGGUCGAGCCUCUGAUGAUGAUGUGCCUAAGUGUUGGUCCCAUCGAUAGCCUAAUGGUUGAUGGUGUGUGUGUGUGUGUGUGUGUGUGUUGAAAGCGGCGGCAGAUGAACGAGAGGUGAGAGAAACGAGUUGAACGAGAGAGAUGAACGAAGUGACGAACGAGAAAAAUAAAUGAGAGAUGAACGAGAGAGGUGAACUAAACACGAACGAGGAAGAUGAAUGAGAGAUGAACGAAAGAGGUGAACGAAACACGAACGAGAGAGAUGAAUGAGAAAGAGAUGAACGAGAGAGAGGAACGAGAAAAAUGAACUAGACAGACGAACGAAAAAGAGAUGAACGAGAGAGAGGGAAACGAGACAGGAAAACGAGUGACAUGAACGAGAAACAAACAAACAAACAAACAAAAAAAAAAUUAUCUACUUGCAUCAUAACUCUAGCCAUAGGGAAACCAAGGUGAUGAUAGAAAUAAUAAUAAUAAGACUAUAAACAGUGUUCCCGCACGUCCAGGACACAGGUUGGUAUUGUCAAAUGCUCCCGCCCCUCAUACCAACUAUUUCCAAAGGCCAAAAAGGAGGUUAAUCGAAUUCUAAUGACUGUUCUUUUAGGUUCACGGUACAGAAGAAGGCUCAGACUACCACCAGGAUCAUAAAAGUACCCCUGGAAAUGCCCACAACUCCCACGAAAGCCUUGUCAGAUAUGCUUUUUUUGGUUUCACGGUACAGAAGAAGGCUCAGACUACCACCAGGAUCAUAAAAGUACCCCUGGAAAUGCCCACAACUCCCACGAAAGCCUUGUCAGAUAUGCUUUUUUUGGUUUCACGGUACAGAAGAAGGCUCAGACUACCACCAGGGUCAUAAAAGUACCCCUGGAAAUGCCCACAACUCCCACGAAAGCCUUGUCAGAUAUGCUUUUUUUGGUUUCACGGUACAGAAGAAGGCUCAGACUACCACCAGGGUCAUAAAAGUACCCCUGGAAAUGCCCACAACUCCCACGAAAGCCUUGUCAGAUAUGCUUUUUUUGGUUUCACGGUACAGAAGAAGGCUCAGACUACCACCAGGGUCAUAAAAGUACCCCUGGAAAUGCCCUAAACUCCCACGAAAGACUAGUAAAUUACGUAUUCUUGGGCGCAGAUAUGUUUAAAAAUAUGACCCACAACCACGCCCGCUACCACAAGUCAAGGGCAAAUUCUGGUUAUUCUUCUCGAUACGAGGAAGAAGAGCGUCACUAUCGAUGAAGCAAAUUACGUCAUGCAACUCCCACUGACUCCGUCUCCUGUAGUGAUGAAAUUGAGUUCUGCUACACGAUGACGGAGUGUGUGACGCCGCCGUGACUUACCUCUCAAACCACAGGGCAUAGGUACAGUCCAGCGUUACCAGAUUAUCGUACUCAGCCACGCAGCACAUUCUAUUUUCCGGUUUCUGACUCACAGCUGUCGCAAACAAACACCAAUAAGUAACGCUUUUAACACUAACUUUAACUGGAAUCUCGUUAUCUGUGUGGGUAGGAGAGUUUGGGGCCCUGGAACUGAUUAAUGCGAUGUUUUGAGUACGAUAAUAUAGUAACGCUGGUGCAGUCCCGCUGACCUCAUAGUUACGCUUCUGCCCAUUCUCAAACACGUCACUCAGUCAGUCAGUCAAUAAGGGAAAUAUGCUGACGAUACUCGUUGUUUUACCAUGACAUUUGACUCCUUUCAUUGUUUCGUGUACGUACAGUCGCGAUAUGAAGUUAUGUCGCCGCUUUCAGAAUGUUUCGUACGGGAGCAUUUGAAGGUAACGGAAGUGAUGUGUAUUUAUUGUUUAUGUUAUAAUGUUCCCUUUUAAUGAUAAUCUAUAAAACGUUGUGAUGUAAAACACGGUAAAAUAACGUAGUAGUACAUAUCUCGGCCGGAGCGUACACUCAGCGUUGCCAAGUUAUCGUAUUUUCCGACUGAUAUCUACAGCAAAAACAAUUAUCCAGUACAAACAAGCAUCAAUUAAUAACAGUUUUUAUCGCUAACUUUAAUAUUUUUUCGUUAUUUCUGUAGCUACGAGAGUCUGCGGCUUAAAAAGGAUAAAUACAGUGUGGUGAGUAUGACAAUCUGGCAUCGUCGCGUACACUGCAACACUAUUAUUUUAACGUUUAGAGGCUGAAAACCGCAUUUGGUAGUCUGAAUGUGAUGGUGGUAGUGUAACCCAUGUUGUGCUUCAGCCUCCCUCGCAUUAUACGCUCAUCAACGGGAGUAACCUCAAUCACAAAUGGCUGCAGCUGGCUGGAGAUGCCCAUUGCUACACCCUUAACCCAGUAGCAGCGACGGGCCAAAUUUGUGGCUUUACCGUGUACCAGCGAGCGACGGGCCAAAUUUGUGGCUUUACCGUGUACCAGCGAGCGACGGGCCAAAUUUGUGGCUUUACCGUGUACCAGCGAGCGACGGGCCAAAUUUGUGGCUUUACCGUGUACCAGCGAGCGACGGGCCAAAUUUGUGGCUUUACCGUGUACCAGCGAGCGACGGGCCAAAUUUGUGGCUUUACCGUGUACCAGCGAGCGACGGGCCAAAUUUGUGGCUUUACCGUGUACCAGCGAGCGACGGGCCAAAUUUGUGGCUUUACCGUGUACCAGCGAGCGACGGGCCAAAUUUGUGGCUUUACCGUGUACCAGCGAGCGACGGGCCAAAUUUGUGGCUUUACCGUGUACCAGCGAGCGACGGGCCAAAUUUGUGGCUUUACCGCGUACCAGCGAGCGACGGGCCAAAUUUGUGGCUUUACCGUGUACCAGCGAGCGACGGGCCAAAUUUUUGCCAUGAUAUAAACCCCAAAAAACAGAUGAUGCAUAAACUGAUCACAAAUGCUUUGGUAUAUAUAUUAUGAAAUGGUUUGCGUGAGUGAUGAUUUUUUCUCAUUUUUCUCGCUUAGAGGGGCCUUUAAGAAACAUGAUCCCCGCAGCUACCGGGUUAAGACUGGUACCAUUUUGCUCAUGUCGGACCAGUCAUCCCCUGAUCACCGCAAAUGAUGACGUGUCACUGCCAGUUCAUAAUGAUAAUAAAAAAAUAUGAUCUUGGUCUUGAACUAGAUAAAUAAAGCGCAGGGCACCUAGCUGUACAGUUUAAUAACACACAUAUUUUGGGUUGGCUGUUGAGGGGAAGGGGAGGCGAGUGUGCAGGGGCGGGAAGUGAAUCAAGCAUAAUUGUUAGUGUUGGUGUGUUGUGGUGACAAGUGUGUAUUUGUUUUCUGAAUGAGUCUAUUGUACCGCAGUGAUGCAGUGUCUCUCAUGAAUUUAAAUAACUAAGCGUGUAAGCUGCCCAAAACGAUGUGAGAAGCGAAAAAUAACAUUGCUUAGCGAAAAUAACAAAUACAACUUUAGACACUCAGGCAAUUUCACGCCCAAACUUUCCAUAAUCCAAAAAACCCUCACAUUUUCCCAAUAUCCCGCAAUACUAUUCUAGCAGAGCUGAAUACAUGGGGAAAGCCGAACACUCCAGCACCCACGCCCUGAGCUCAAACUUACUUAAAUUUGUUGACACGGCUAGAACGGCAAUACGGCUGGAUCAAUGUGACUAUGGAUCCCCAGACUCGUGUGUGUGUACCCAGGCGACCCGUGAACCUAGCCACUGUAUGGAAGAUGGGAGUGAUUGUGUGUGUGUGUGUGUGUCUGUGUGUGUGUGUUUAGGAUUUGAUCUGAUUGUCCUUCUCUCUCUCCUACCUAUAUAUUUACCUAAUUUUCAAACCCCCUAUAAGUUAUGUGAUGCUCUGUGUUUUAUGAUCUAGCGGUUCAGGGUUGUCACUUAGUAAUGUUAUGUCAUGCGAUGUUUUAUGUUGGUUUCGUACUGAUUGCGUAUUAACGUGAUGCAUACCUGUAUUUUUUUAUUUAUUUA